rnacentral:lncRNA from 1 species
CCCCGUCGGGCUCCGCCGCGCCCCCAGGUGAGUGACUGGCUGCGCGAGGGCUCGAGCUGGGCCACCUUCGGGGACCCAGGCCUCUGGGAACGCUCCCCUCUGGGCCAGGUGCGUAGGGGGCGGAAGGGCAGGCAGCGCAGGUGGAGCAGCGCGGGCGGGAGCCGACCAGGCGCUUCCUCUGCCCCUGUAGCCCCCAAAGUCCGAGGCGCCGCGGAGGAGGGGCCGGGCUGGGUACAGGCAGGGUGGCCCCGGCCCAGGAGCCUGGCGGCCGGAGUGCGGAUUGCUCAUCUGAGAAUCUGGGAAUCCGGAAUGAACUAGAAGGGAACGGAGGCGCUGCCCUGGCCGAGUCGCUGCCCCGCGCGCCCUCCUAGAGCACCGAAGUCCUGCCCGGCCACGGGACCGGGAGCUGCCGCAGCGUCAGCCUGAGCCCGGAGCAGGGCUUGCGCCCGCGGUGCGGGGGGUCUCUCCGCCGCCCCGCUAGGCUCCUGCCGUGCCCUCCCUGCCCUUUGUUGUGUAAUGAGACCUGUGGCGGCUCCACUGAGACCCACACGUGCAACUCCACGCCUCUGCGUUAAAGGAGGCGAAACGCAGCGGCCCUGAGAACCCCCGAGACCCCGGUGUCUUAGCAGAGGCGCCUCGGAUGCGGAGGGGCGCGGGGUCGGCGCUACCCCAGAGGAAAAGCCCAGCGGAGCCAGGCUUGGCCGCAGCCGGCAGCGGCGGUGUGCGCCGGGCCUUCUGCCUUGGAUCCUCCGCAGUCGGCACUGCUUGCCUGCUCGGAUUCGAACCCCGAUGCGGCUCCCAGGGGUCCAGGGUGCCCAGUCCUACAGCCAGCUCGCCGCCACCGGAGCCCCUGCCGGAGGAAGCGCUCCCUAGUCGCCGCUGCGGCUGUUUCUGGCAAAAGGAGGCGCUGCAAGGCUCGGAGCUCCUGGAGCUUCCAGUCUAUGGCGUGAGUGAAGCAGGAAGGUGUCUCCUCCAUCAGACCUGGAGCUUCCAGCUCACUGUCUCCAAAACCCCAGAACCUGGCCCAAGGCUGGGCUGCGCUCUGUCCUUAGUGAAAGAAUGGAUGAGUCACAACUGAAUGAAGAGAGCUGAGCGAGUAGGUUUCCCUCAGGGCUCCCCAGGCAGUUUCAGCCCAGGGGAAGACCCAGGGAGACGAAGGCGACCUUGCAGGCUGUGGCGGGUCUGGAGGCAGCAGCCCGGGGCAGGGACUGUGCUGAGUGCCUGAGGCCGAGCCACCCCUCUGUAAGCUUCAUCAUCCAUCAGGUCUCAGAGGGCUGCCCUGUGUUCAGUGAGCUGCCAGCACCGUGUGAUGAAGACACAGCAGUGGGCAGCUGCCCAGCCCCUUUGCGCUGUGUUUGAAAAAAGAAGCUGGCUUGUUCAGGGGUUCCCAGCAGGAUGGGGGAGGCGGCAGGGACCAUGGCAGAGCAGAGCGAGAGUUCUAGAAGAGAAGCUGGUCCUUCCACAGGCUCCCUGGCCUGGGUGCUGCGCCAGACAGGGUGCUGGGCAUUGCCCUGCUCAUUUCCCACCCCUGGGUUGCAGCUGGGAACUGUGUGGCCUUCAUAGUCCUGUGAGGUGGGUGCUGUGCUGUGCCCACCUUACAGAUGAGAAAACUGAUGCUCAGAGGCUUGAGUGACCUAGUCAAGGACCUGUCCUUACAGGCAGAUUCGGGACUCAGGGAAGAGCUCCCCGACCACAAAGCCCCAGGGGACUCGCGCUGCAGGGCUGCCACCCUCCAAGGUGUGCAGGGUGGCAGAGAUUCAUCUGCAGAGACAUCUCUGCCUGGGACCCUUUCCUGGGGCUCCUAAGGUGCUAGGAGUGCGAGCGCCAUGAGAGCCCACUGCAGUCAUGCCACCCAGAGGGUACUCUGGCCUCUCGGUCACCUAUGUGCUUCUGACAAUGACCAGGGUCCAGAAUGACUCAGCCAUUGGAGUCUGGAUUUCCUGAGCCCGCCUCUCACUGGUAGGUCCUGAGCCCCCUUCCUUCCCAGCACCCACUCUUAGAGCAGUUAUCCAGGACUGCGCUGCAGCUACUGAGGCCAGGGAGAGACCCUGUGCUCUGGCCAGAGGCUUUGGGGGCUCAGUUAGGACUAACGCACCAAGCGAGUUGUGCUGAGUGUUGAGGCUUCUUCUGGGAAGGUAUUUUCAAUCACCAAAUAUGCCAUUAAAAAAAUACGUGUCAGUAACGUGUGCACUAAGCCUGGACCACAUGGGACAUUGUCGUUCCAAUAAACACGAAUAAGCCAGUUUUCACAUUAGAGAAAUAACAGUUUCUUGUAGAAAUGUGGUGCUUUUGAAAGAGGUUAAUUAAUAAACAGCAGAUAAUUGUUCGUGGCACAUUGUGGCGGAGGGUAAUUUUCAUUUUAGACGAUGGAAGGGCCAAAUACCCCUCCCCACUUAGCAUUUUUCUGUAAUAAUCACCUCGGCUUCACCUCCGCCUUUCAUUUUUACAGCUGGAGCUGCUUAUCACUGCUCCAACUUUCACUAAAAAGGAAAAACUAUCAUUUAAACAAAGCUAUCGAAAACCCAGCAUCAUUUGUGGACUUUUUAACAUAAAUAAAUCAUACAAACUAAGAUUUAUGUUCAUGGAAUGAUGUCAUUCAUUGAAGGCCGCCUUCCCAGUCACAUUCAUGUUCAGUGAUUUUGCUUUGAUGGGUUCGCUUUUUGCUAAGUAGGAAAAACCCGUUCAGUCGUCCCUGCUGCUGUCUUUCCUCACUCUGGCCCCGGACAUCAGAACGGUUUCUCCCCGGGCCAGUCCACAGAGCCAAGUCCAAAUGGUGAAAAUGGUUUUGAACUCCAUAGACUGCUUUUAAACCAUAAGUCUGAGAUUAAGACUGUUGAAACUUCCCUAAGAAUUUGUACAAGCCUCAGCAGAAGCUUAUCAUCCUCCCAGGUCUCCCAGAACCUGGAGUGAGUCUCACUGCAGAUGACGCAUCUGCAGAAGCUUCACCAAAUUGAAAUGUGAGGAGCAUUAAAAUCAGCACAUGCUGCAUAUCCAUGCAAUAGAAUAUUAUGUCACCAUGGAAAGGAAUGAAGAUCUGACACUUGCUGCAUGAAUGAACCUUGAAAACAUGAUGCUCCAUGAAAGAAGUCAGUCAUAGAAGGUCACACAUUGUGUGAUUCCAUUUCUUUGAGAUGGGCAGGAUGGGCCAGUCCACACAGACUGAGGCAGGUUAGUGGUUGCCUGGCUGUGGCAGUAGAGGCGGUGGCACCCGGGGCCGGUGAAGACACCAGAGCAGAUGGGCUACACCAGAGUCCAGCUCCAACCCACCAGGCAUUGACAGGAGACCAUUAGCUGAAAGCCAGUGGGACGUCAGGCUUACUAAUAGGGGCAGGUGUCCACCAGGCUGCAGUGAAGCUUCCAUUUGUCCAUGCAAUGCGCUUCAUGCUUGCUAUGUGCCAGGGACAGCCAUAGGCCCUGAGGCUGCCACAGUGACAGACACAGACACUGCUCCCAUCAAGCUCAUGUUUUCAUGGGGAAAGCAGCAAUAAGCAAAAUACAUCAGGGUCUGAUGUGCCAGGCUAGAUGAUUUUAGUGCAAUGGACACAAAGGAGGAGAGAGGUAAAGGCACAAAUUUCAAUCGGUUGUUCAAGAAAGGCCUCACUGAGGUGAUGACAUUUGGGCAGAGACAUGAGGGAGUGAUGAGGAGCCAUCCGAGUGUCUGGGGGAACAGCAGUGGGGCAGAGGGAACAGCCAGUGUGAAGGCCCUGAGGCUCCAGUGACCAGUGUGGCUGAUGCAGAAGGACAGGGAGGGGAGGAGGUGAAACCAUGUAGAGUCAGUGGGAGGACAAAUUAAGGAAUUAAAGUUGCACUCUCUGCUGACUUUAAAGUAGGGAGAUGAUUCUGGAUUAUCUGAGUGGGCUUAAUGUCCUCAUUCUCCUGCCUCUCUCUUCUACUUUUAAGGGUCACAAGGCUCCGAAAGUGGACGAGGGAGACAGGGGAGUCAGGGUCAGGAUGGAGAGGAGAAAUGUGAGAAUAUGAGUAAGAUUCCUCUGGCUGUGCUGGCUCUGAAGACAGAGGAAGGGGCCGUGAGCCACAGUAUUUGAAUACAGACUGUAGAAGCUAAAAAAAAAAAAAAGGCAAAUAAAUGGAUUUUAGAGCCUCCAGUAAGGGAGGCAGUGCUGCCCAUGCCUCGACUUUAAGACCCUGAGAUCCAUUUUAGACCUCUGCCCCACAAAACCAAAAUCUAGUAAGUAUGUGCUAUUUGAAGCUGCUAAGUUUGUAGUAAUUUGUUAGAGCAGCCACCAGAAAUUAGUAUGUGGAGGAAAUGGGGAUUUCAUCUGUCCAUGGUCAAGACAUUCAGGGUGUGGUAAGAAUCUGAGCCUGCCUCACCUAUGUGAGAAUGAGAGAGUGAUGACCACAGAACAGUGGUGAUGGCCGUCCACAUAUCUGGCUCCUUAGCCACUCAUGCCAAUAUGGACCGGCUACCUUCUAUGUCCUGCCCACGGCCAUUCUCUAGGGAAAUUCCUUUGCAUCUCCUGCUACCUUUACAGACUACAUAUCUUGUUGGAUUACUUUCUCAUUUUCGUGAAGCAUAUCUUCUGGAAAAUUCUAAUAAAAGAUGCAUAGGAGAUACAUAUUUUAGGACUUCUGCAGUACCAGAAGGAUAGUUGAGCUGGGUAUAGAAAAUGCUUUGUUAGUGGUUCCUACUCUCUGUUUUCUUUCUUCUUUAUUUUUGGAACUUGAUACUUAUAUGAGCUUUCUGCUGCCCAUUUAAUCUGUGUGUCCUCCAAUCGGCUUUGUUCUGUCUGUUUCGCUAUGUCUUUCCUGAGGCCUCUGCUCAUCCUGUGCUUUCUGCUCGUGAUGAGGAGCUGACUAGAAGAUCUGAAAGUAAGAAAGGAGAGGUACAUUGUCCUUGAGACUCAUGGAUGGGGGUGAUCCUGAGAACCUUGGAUGCCAGUUAUCUUUAGGAACCAACCUGAUUACCAGAGAAGUUACCCAAGGAGUGAGUGAGGGGUCUGCUUGCCAGCCUUCUUAGAGUCAACAUGGAGUUGAAGGCAGGGGUCUUUGAAGUCAGCUGCCUGAAUUCUGGGAAAUAAACUUCUGGACUUUUGCUGGCUUUGGGGAGGAGUCGUCACUCAGGGAAGAUAAGGAGGGGAUAGGAAUCUAACCGGGUCAUAGGCCCCUUUCACUCUAGCCUUUCUGAUCAUAGCCACCCUUGCACCCCAAAUCCUAGAGGUACUCUUACAUCCAGCCCUCAGUGUUGGAGUUUCCCUUGGUUACAAAGCUGGUAAAACAUCACCUUCCUGCUCUCUAGUCAGGACUUUCUCUUGUCUCUGACCCAGUUGCCACAGGUCCAGGUCCAUCAGCAAUUCAGCUUUCAGAAAGGAGGCCCACCCUCAUGGGUAGAUGCCUUUUAAAAUCUCUUUAUUGUGGUUGAAGUGGAGCUUACAGAGGGGACACCAUUGAAUGGGUGUGUGUUCAAUUUGCCAUCUUAACCCAGAGGCUUUUGUAGCUAUUUUAGAAACACUAUAUCCGUUCUUAGGUCCAGGCCUGAUACCACACCCAGUGUCCACACGCAGGAUCUCUGAUUCCACAGGGUUCUUUGGGUCCUGAUCAGUGAUCUUUCUAGAGCCUCUCCCAUGACCUGCUUCUGGCCACAAAAACAGCUAACAAAUGCAAUUUGUGUUGCCUACAAAGGAAUGUUGCAUAGGCAGUGAACAUAGUGACAAGAGUGCAUGCUUAUCACGAUUCUGACAGGUCCACCUUUAAGAGUGUCAGCUGAAAUAUUAACAGUGGUUUUCCCUUGGCGAUGCAAUCUGAGAAUAUUAAAACUUUUUUUCUCUGUUUCUCUACGUUUUAAUUUUUGUCUACUGACUAUAUAUUAGUGGUAGAAGUGUUACAAUGUUUAAAAAUGAGAACAUCAAGAAAUUAGCCCACCAUGGUGGUGGUGUGUUCCUGUGGUCCCAGUUACUCAGGAGGCUGAGGCAGGAGGAUCUCUUGAGCUCAGGAGGUGGAGGUUGCAGUGAGCCAAGAUCUCACCACUG